UGAGGAAUAUUGAGCAAUGGGCGCAAGCCUGACUCAGCAACGCCGCGUGGAUGAAGAAGGCCUUCGGGUUGUAAAAUCCUUUUCUGGGGGAAGAUAAUGACGGUACCCCAGGAAUAAGUUCCGGCUAACUACGUGCCAGCAGCCGCGGUAAAACGUAGGGGACGAGCGUUAUCCGGAUUUACUGGGCGUAAAGCGCAUGUAGGUGGCGCGGAAAGUUGGACGUGAAAGCUCCCGGCUUAACUGGGAGAGGUCGUACAAAACUACCGUGCUUGAGGUUGGAAGAGGAGAGCGGAAUUCCCGGUGUAGUGGUGGAAUGCGUAGAUAUCGGGAGGAACACCAGUGGCGAAAGCGGCUCUCUGGUUCAAUACUGACACUGAGAUGCGAAAGCGUGGGGAGCGAACGGG
rnacentral:rRNA from 1 species